UGGAUUAGUGGCGAACGGGUGAGUAACACGUGGGCAAUCUGCCCUGCACUCUGGGACAAGCCCUGGAAACGGGGUCUAAUACCGGAUAUGACCAUCUUGGGCAUCCUUGAUGGUGUAAAGCUCCGGCGGUGCAGGAUGAGCCCGCGGCCUAUCAGCUUGUUGGUGAGGUAACGGCUCACCAAGGCGACGACGGGUAGCCGGCCUGAGAGGGCGACCGGCCACACUGGGACUGAGACACGGCCCAGACUCCUACGGGAGGCAGCAGUGGGGAAUAUUGCACAAUGGGCGAAAGCCUGAUGCAGCGACGCCGCGUGAGGGAUGACGGCCUUCGGGUUGUAAACCUCUUUCAGCAGGGAAGAAGCGAGAGUGACGGUACCUGCAGAAGAAGCGCCGGCUAACUACGUGCCAGCAGCCGCGGUAAUACGUAUGGCGCAAGCGUUGUCCGGAAUUAUUGGGCGUAAAGAGCUCGUACGCGGCUUGUCACGUCGGUUGUGAAAGCCCGGGGCUUAACCCCGGGACUGCAGUCGAUACGGGCAGGCUAGAGUUCGGU
rnacentral:rRNA from 1 species